rnacentral:rRNA from 1 species
CAGGGAAUAUCGCACAAUGGACGGAAGUCUGAUGCAGCGACGCCGCGUGGACGAAGAAGGCCUUCGGGUUGUAAAGUCCUUUUCAGGGGGAAGAGAGAGGACGGUACCCUUGGAAUAAGCGUCGGCUAACUACGUGCCAGCAGCCGCGGUAAGACGUAGGACGCGAGCGUUAUCCGGAUUUACUGGGCGUAAAGCGUCUGUAGGCGGGACAGUAAGUUGGGCGUGAAAGCUUCGGGCUUAACCCGGAGAGGACGUACAA